rnacentral:lncRNA from 1 species
GUUGAUGCUUAUUGGUUUUGAAACACUCUUUUCCGUCACUCACCUCUGCAUGUAAUAUGCUAAGCUGUUCCUCGCUCUCUCUCUCCAAGUAGAAAGACAACGAAACAAUAUUUCCCACUAUCUUUGUUCGGGAGAAAUAGCACUCUUCAAGAAAAAGUGAAGGAGCAGUUUGAAAUAGGCGCCAACUCCAGGUUCUUUGGUGUGCACGCCAGGGGUAUGUUUUCUUUAUUUUAUUUUCAUUCUUUUAAUUUUAUUUUUAAUUUAACUUUUAGAUUGAUUUUGUUUAUUUUCAGUUUUAGGGUUUUCUGGUAGGAUUUUUGGCGAUAUUAAGUCGGAUCUACCGGUGAUUCUUAAAGAUCCUAGAUCUCUCAUGACCUGGAGUCUUUCUGAAUUGUAAUUUUAUGGAUCCCACUGAUUUCCUACUGAUCUUCAAUUUGAACUCAUAAAUAUUUGGUAAGCUCUUGGUACUAUAUUUCCUUCAUAGUUCUUAAGAAAAUAUAAAACCUUUUU